UCUACUAUAUUCUAAUUAAUUUUACAGGUCCAGGUUAAAGAAGAAUCAGGCGGUUGCGGAUUUAUAUUCAAAAAUGCUUACCCCAGCUAUGUUUAAAUAGAUUCGAAUAAGGGCUUCAACUAUAGGGAUUACAUCCGCAAAUAUUUUCAAUAUUACGGAUCAGGUUGAAAAAGAAUCAUGCGCGGGUUUAAAUUGAAAAAUGCUUACCACGGUUAUGUUCAAAAUAGAUUCGAAUAAGGACUUCUAGAAUGGGGCAAAUAUCAAUAAAUCAGUGUCACCUUCACACACCAGCCAUCUGGCAGAUUUACCUGUCCUCAGUUAUUUUGAAUAACGCCGGAAUGUGCGAUCAAGGUGACACAUUCCUUGGCUUCCAAUUCGUCGCGUUUUGAUGGAAAAUAUGCGGUGUUUGAAGCGUUGCAAACAGCCGGGGUCAAAGCUUGUAGUUAUUGCUGUCAGCAGUGUCAACUUUGAUGAUCAAGCUUUAUGAUUCAAAACUCAAAAUAUAGCAGCCUCGUUAUCUUCAUUCGUCAUCUU